UGGAAUAAUACAUAGCUCUAGCCCUGAGUGGAUGAAAUCACUUUAUUAAAGAAGAACAUUGCCAUUCCAAUACACCAGUUUUAUUUCCUGAAUUGGGACUUGGUGUUAUGACCAUGCUCUAUACACUUCUGGACAGAAUGUUCUAGACUCAGGUUUUGGUACAAGUGAUACAACUACAUUCCUGCCCUCAUUGGAUCUCCAGUAGACAGUUGCUAGCUGGAUUGCUCCCCACAUUGGUCACUUUCCAAUGACAUGAAUGCUGCUCCAAGAUCAAAGAGAAAGU